rnacentral:misc_RNA from 1 species
CAGCGAACCAGAACGUCGAUUCAUGAAGAAAACGUCGAGUUGAAUUGACCGUAACUGCCCAGGUUUUUUUUCAUCGUUCGCGUAAAGCCACGUGCUAUAUAUAUUGCGGAGUGAGGAACCAAUCGAAUCGCGGUGUGUGGAGGAGAGUGUACACACAGCAUAAGAAUCGUACUGGAUAUUAUGUUUGGUGUGAAAAUGGAACUCCUUUCUAGUUUAUUAGAGUUUAAAGCGACACGCCACUGCCAGGUACAACGCUCUUUAAUACAUACUGGACAUCGGCUAGCGGUCAAUUGUGACUGAGACGUCAGACCGGGAGGUCGACCCACAUGGACCCUACAGAGCCGGAUUACAAAUUAGGAUUAUUUACUACAGAUGCUGGGGAGGAACGGAUAACAUGUGUUUUGUGGCAAUGGAGUUAACGUGAAGACGAUUAAAUGAAUACAAUGCUACACCAAAAUGAUACAUUAUUUAUUGUUAAUUCUCUUAAAUACCAUACAAAUUGGUUUGUCAAACGAGGAGUCGAACCAAAGGGCUAAAUGUAGGACCCAAGAAAAUCCAGAUCACCAGAAUUCCUUUCUGUGGACGUUAAACCGAGAUCCACCCUCUUACUUCUUUGGGACAAUCCAUGUUCCUUACACCAAAGUGUGGAAUCACAUUCCAGAAAGCACCAAAGAAGCGUUUCAACAAUCGGAGAACAUAUUCUUUGAGUUGGAUCUGACUGAUGUUUACACAGUUACUGCGUUGGCCAAUUGUCAACUGUUGCCUAAUGGCGAGAACCUAUCGGACGUACUGCCGGUUGACAUGUUCAACCGACUGAAGAGCCAUCUUGAGUAUGUUAGACAAAAAAUGCCUUCCUGGAUGUCUGCUGACCAGAAGGGCAGAGGGAUGUAUGCAGACUAUUUAUUUAAUGCUAUUGCAGGGAACUGGCAGAGAAAACGGCCCAUAUGGGUCAUGUUGAUGGUGAAUUCUUUAACGGAAAGUGACAUUAAGUCCAGGGGGACCCCAGUGCUGGACUUGUACUUAGCUCAACAGGCGGAGAAAAUCGGCAAGGUGACAGGUGCAAUAGAGAGAGUGGAGGAACAAUGUGUGCCACUUAACGAGCUAAAUUUCUCACAGGUGUUGUUUGCGUUAAAUCAGACGCUUUGGCAGCAUGAGGCGUACCGGGCUAGUGAGGAGGGACUGACAAGGUACACUACGGACGAGCUUAUAUAUCACUACAACUGUGGGGACCUCAACGCAGUCAUCCUCAAUCAAAACACAGCUCAGGUGCGCAGUCUCGUCAACAACUCCCUACCCCCGGGCGCUCAGGAGACUGCCAAACUCAUCGACGAAUACUUCCGAUUGGAGCUAAUAAAUAAACGCAAUGAGAGGAUGGCAGAGAGAGUAAUUAGCUUGCUUAAAGCUCAUCCAAAGAAAAGUUUUUUCUUUGCCUUCGGUGCAGGUCAUUUCCUAGGUAACAAUACCAUCCUUGACCGCCUGUGGGAGGAGGGGUACAGGGUGGAGCAUACGCCCGCAGACAGCAUCAUUCCAAAGCAUAAAAAUUCUAAUAAGCAUCAUGGAAAAAAUAGGAAGAAGGGGAAGAACACAUCCUUUCCAAAUUAUGAUAGUUUUAGUGAUUUCUGGUUCCAAUUGGAGUCGGACACAGAUUACAGUGAUUGGUUGAAGAAAAGAGAUAAACACAGAAAGAAAAUCUAUAAUCGGUAUAAAGAGAAACCUUUCAACGACCUCUGGGUAAAGAUGGAUGCUGAAACGUCUGACUUGAUGAACCAGUUAGCGGAGAGAUACAUGUCUUCAAAGGGGGUCACCCAGGAACAAAAUGUCAGUGAGGAUAACCAUGGUUACUCCCAUAGUAACAGACUAUCACCAUGGCAACCCUCAUGGUUGUGGACUUUAGUGCUAGUGCUGAAUGUGAUACAGUAUAUGGGUCAUUCCUGUUAGGUCUUUCAAGAUGGCCACCAUUGGCAGCCGGUCAGUGACAGAGUGGAUGAGAGCUAGGGCAGAUGGUCAUGGAAGUUUGAUUGCCUGAGUGAUCAGACUGUGUUAUCAUUUUCGGGAGUUUGGCAUGUAACUGGUGGCCCUGGACAUUGACUCGAAAGAUUAUGGAGUACCAAGUGAUUUCAAAAGAUAACAUAAUUAGAUUAACAAACUUGAAUUGUUUAUAAAAUGACAGUGAGAAGUUUAUUCAUUGCCCUUGAGAAAUUCAUAUAAUGACCUUGAGAAGUUUGAAAACAAAUGGAAGGUUAACCGAAUGACCCUGAGAAGUUUAUAUAUAAUAACCCUGAGGGGGUCAACAUGAUGACCUUGAUAGGUUGAAGGUCACUCUUAAUAAUUGUGUUACCAGGGCUCAAUUGUUCAGAGUUUUGUGAGAUUAAUGACUCACAAAUUAAUUAAUUUAAUUAUUUUUUAAAUCUUGCUUAGACUUUGGCCAGUCGGGUCAACAUCAACCUUUGUCUGAUGCUGAAAAGUUUGUGUACUUUACCGGUCAGCAUUAUAUCUUUUUUGCAUAUAUCAAGAAUAGGUUGUGUUCAUUAUAUAAGAUGGACACCUUGUUUUAUGACUUUGUCAAACUUAUUGGAGCGCGUCGGUGAUUCUGUCAUCAACGUUCCUAUGUGUUUGCGUACAAACAAAGCCAAAGGGGCAUCAUGAUAUUUCUUACAAUUAUUCUCACAAUUAUCCUAUUUCAUCAGCAUAGUGUUAUUACUGUGUUACAUAGUCAUCCAACCAGCACAAUUCUGUGAUACAAUACGUAUUUGAUGGAUGUUCAUUUUGUAUGGUAAUUAUGUAACUUUUGUUUUGUUUUUUGUAAAAAAUUGUACAUAAUAAUAUAUAUCUACAUAGCAUUAUGUUUAAUUCCUAUUGGAUAAUCUCAAAUUAUAUAAAGGUACAUACAUGUCAGAAUGGAAAUAAUGGAGGCUAGGAAUUGACCUUGACCUUUGACACAUUGUAUGAUUUUUGAGGUCACUGAAGGUUGAGUAGAUCAAUAAUUACUGGAUUUUUACUUUGGAAUGCCAUAUAACUCUUCAUGUCAUAUAGAUUUUCAAACUCAACGGGUCUUAGUCACUGUAUUCCACUUCUUAUGUAACACUUUUCGGUAAUUAAUCAAUGAAUAUACAUGUACUUAAUGAAUAUUCAACAGAUUUUACUUACCAUCAAGAAUACAAUAUGAAUUCUUUUGAAUAUUCAUUUUUUGUAUUAAUUCGAUUCAAAAAAUUUAAUACCAAAUAUUCAACAGAAUCUUACUUAAUGAAUAUUCAGCAGAUUUUAUCUGCCCUGUAAUGAAUAUAGUAUGGAUUAUGUUGAAAACUUAUUAAGUAAGAUUCUGUUGAAUGUUUGUUAAGGAAGAAAUGGUUGAAUAUUCAUUAAUUUCCAUUGUAUAUUAUUAAGUUAUUGUAAAAAAAAAUGUUCCAAUGAAGGUAGAUUUGUGUUUUCACAAAAUUUUCUAAAAGUUAAGUUAUAAUUAAGCCUUUUAUUAUCAUUAGAUAUAUAUAUCAUCACCCAAAUUUUAUAUUCACUGUUGAAUGUGGCAAAAUUUCCUCUGUACCAUCUCUAUACAUUAGGUGGUCUGUAGAUAUAUAUAUAUAUAUGUCUGUGGCUUACACAAUGGAUAUAAAUCAGGCUUCAACAACAAAAUUCAAUCAAAGUCCUCAGUGUAUCAUAUGUGGCAGAUUUUUCAGUCAUGAUUUGUUUUUAAUUCUUUAUUUUGUAGCUGGCUCCCUGUUAGACGUUUAGUGAAUUUCCAUAUUCAUAUGUACCAGUCUAUACCUUUUCUCUAACACUGUUUUUGUUCCAUGUAUUGGAUGAUAAAUGGUGGCCAUCCAUGUCCUGAAUACUCUCACCUUGCUCAUACAUAUACUCAUGAUACAGGGUCGUAACUAUGGGUAAAAUAUAUUAGGGAGACAUUUUUACGAAGGUAGCACUUCUUAUUAUUCUUGACCCUGUUUGAUAUUGUUUUUGAUAUUGUUAAUUACGGUGAAUAUUACCAAUGACUGCCACAGUGUUCCUCAGACUGAUGGCGUUUUAUAAAACGUCGGAAUUAUUACACAUGCAAAUUUGGUAUCCUCUCAGACUACGAUCAACGUUAUUGUCAUUUUCGUAUUCUGGUUCCAUUGUCAUGUCCAUGGUUUGAAUUUUAAUGAUGGACUGAAAAUAAUCAAUAUCUAUAACAAGAAUUCCACUAUAAUUUUGCCAUCUGAUGUUAUAGCAUAUUAUUGUGAUCAGGACUAAAUGCUUCUCAUUACUUCAGCCACUUAGAAAUCACACUUAGAGACAAAAUACGUUGGAUCAGCGUUUCAUUGCAUUCAGGCAGAUGGAGGAAUGUUUAAGUAGACGAUCAGAAGAAAAAAGUGAAACUCUUUGUCUCCAGUGACAGUGACAUCAUUAAAUAGUAACAUAAUUAAGACAGACAUGUUCCUUUUAUGUUGGAGAAAGUGUCUGUUCCAAUUAAAAUGGUCAGACCCUACUAGAGCCAGAAUUGUGAGUCAGGAGAGAGAUAUGGGAAUUUUUGACAGCAGCUGAUAUGAUUAGCGUUCAUUUCAUGGAAAACAGACUUACAAAAUAUUUGAUGGAUAGCAAACCCAGGCUCAUCACACACAGAAUCCACACAGGAUCCACUCUGAUUCUGAUAGGUCACUGAUCCUACAAAAGAUUGUGUCUCACAUGCAGUUCUAUUUUCAUCUUUCACAUUUUUGCACUUUCUAUUGUUAAGUACUAAAUCAGCAGAGGUUUACUCCAAACUAGAAAUCUGAGAUCAUUUUAUGGAAUUUUAAGAGGACAAGAUGUUGCUUAGAAAAUAUUAGAUUGGGACAAUUAAGCUUGUUUAACAUUAGAAAUAUAUGAUCAUGGAUUAAUGAGUUGCUGUUGUUUAAUUUUCGAAGGUAAAUAUAGAUUUGUAGACACAGUUCUGAUUUAUGUCUGCAAUGAAAAAAGCUUGCACAUCCUGCUAAAGUAGACGUUUAAAAAGGGGGAGUCACUGGGACAUUUCUGUUUGAAUUUGAAAAAAUGUAUUUCACAAGUGGGCACUUAAUUUGUCAUCAUUUUAAUACUCAAUAUUUGUUUAGCUUAACUCAUUCACCCCUGAAUACACAUUUGAACUCAUCCAAUACAAAGGUUAGAAUAGUUCAUUAUGAAAUUUCAGGGGUGAAUGAGUUAAGAGUGAUGGAAUCACUGGGAAUUUUCUAUAAGUUUCUGUUUUAGAAAACAAUUGACAGUUGACAGAUUAAGGGCACUUUUUUGUCAAUUGUAUACUCACCAUAUCUAUACCUCUAUAUCUGAGAUCAAAGAUUUUGUUCGCUAUAUUUAAAACUGAAAGUUAUACAGUUGACGUUGUGUUUAUAGUGCAAUAUUGUGCAAGGGGAUGGUUGAGAGACUCUGUGAGGCACCGUGUUUGUGAGAAUGUUACUGUCACCUUUUGAGAGGAUCAGUAUGAAUAUGUAUGGUUGUAUUUGUAAUCCAAAUAACUUCAAUCCAUUUUAAAAAAGCCAGUACAAUAAUAAUGUAAAUAGGGUAUGUCAUGUAUGAAAGCGAUUCAACAGACUUCAAAUUAAAAUAUCAUUUAAAAUAUCACACACUAGCUUCUUUGAGUGAUAAGUUUCAGAAACCACCUGAAAAAAACUUCAACAUAUGAAUGGUGCAUAUUCUGGUUUAUUUUCAAAAUGUUAUAAUAAAAUGCUUGUUACACAGCCACCAUUUAGACAGGGUUGGCAAUUAAUGAGGUGGGCAUAUUAUGUGUGAUUAGGAAAGAGCAAAAGGGGUUUAGUGGUAUAUGAAAGGGGAUGUACUGAUGUGGUUAUAUAAUGAGUACACUUUUAAACCUUCAAACUUCUGUGACCAGACUGUGGGUGGCAACUACAUAGGGAAGGGGAGACAACCUGUUAUGCCUCGGUGUCAUAAGUGAUCACAUAUGGGGGAAGGGGGAUAAAUCGUUUUACUAAUAUUUGAGAAAUUAUUUUGCCAACAAACUCAUUAAUUAUUCAUCUGUACCAUUUCCUUCAUACUGUAAGGUACUGAAAAGUAACUAACUUAAUCAUGCUGCCACCGUUAACCAGCAGCAUUUUGAUGUUAUAGAAUAGGGGUUCAAUACAAGAUGCAAGAAUAUUUAUUUAUUUUCGCAUAUUUAAAACAAUAAAACAAUUGGUGAUAUAUCAAGGGAGAAACAUAGAGAAACCAUUAGGGAUAAAAUGAAAACAGAACCUUGAAAUAUGCUCUCAGUAAGCGUGGUGGCAAACAAUAUGUGUGGCAUUAUAUUGAGGUUUUACUGUCUGUAGUUAAGUACGAUUUUGUCACAGUAUGGUAGCUAAUAAAAGUCUGGCCCUGAACACUGACCCACCUGAGCAAUAGCAAUCAAAACUACUGUAGCAUUAUCGUACUGAUGAUGUGUGUGUAUAACUUACAUAUAUUGUUAUCUUUGGUAAUGUAUUGUUUUGUUGGUGCAGUUAAAGAAUUUUUCUAAAGAACAAUGAUUCUGUAAACUCGUGUGUGUAUGUUAAAACAAAACUCAUAUUGUAUCACUGUAGCUGGUACAGAUAUGUCUACUCAACAUUGUACGUCUAACAUACUAUCUCUAUAUCCUCCUAUACCCUUUCUGGGGCUUGUUUACAACCUAUCGGCCUGAUUAAUGACUUAGAAAAGUCACCACAGUGGGUUUUUUUCUCUCUUUCUGUUUUAUUUGCCAUUUAUUUUCGUUUAGAAACAAAAUCAAAAUGCGUAUUUUUUGUGUAGAAUUUCUAAUACAUUUGUAAACUUUUCACUGUCACAAAGUGAGGUAUAGUAUAAUGGUAAUAACAUUACAUUUUAGAAUUCUGAUAUACUUAUCUGUUCAAUUGCUAAAUUGAAAAACAAGAUGCUAAUGUGUAAGAUACUGAACAAUGUUGACUUAAUGUUUAAACAUUAAAAACAAAGCCAAUGAAAAAGAAGAUGACUUGCAUUAGUAUUGAAGCAGGAAAAUAAGUCGUUAGAAACCGAGAAAAAUAUUAAAUCUUGAUAGGCAAAGAUGGGAGAUCAUUGAGAAUCUAAUACACGUCAAAGAGAAGAGGAAUUAUUUUAAGAGUCCGGAGUGGAAAUUAUACGUGGCAAAGAUAGGAACACUUCUUUAGGAGUCUGGGUAUGACUUAAUACAUGAAUGUGUCAUUAGAGAGUCUAGGUUAAGACGAAAUAUAUAAGUCUAAGUAGGUAUAAAUACACGUCACUGGUAAAACUAAGAGAACUAAUUGGAGAGUCUAGGUAGGUAUAAAUACACGUCACAGGUAAGACUAAGAGAACUAAUUGAUAGUAUAAGUAGGUAUAAAUACACGUCACAGAUAAGACUAAGAGAACUAAUCGGAGAGUCUAGGUAGGACUAAAUACACGUCACAGGUAAGACUAAGAGAACUAAUUGAUAGUAUAAGUAGGUAUAAAUACACGUCACAGGUAAGACUAAGAGAACUAAUUGAUAGUAUAAGUAGGUAUAAAUACACGUCACAGAUAAGACUAAGAGAACUAAUCGGAGAGUCUAGGUAGGACUAAAUACACGUCACAGGUAAGACUAAGAGAACUAAUUGAUAGUAUAAGUAGGUAUAAAUACACGUCACAGGUAAGACUAAGAGAACUAAUUGAUAGUAUAAGUAGGUAUAAAUACACGUCACAGAUAAGACUAAGAGAACUAAUCGGAGAGUCUAGGUAGGACUAAAUACACGUCACAGGUAAGACUAAGAGAACUAAUCGGAGAGUCUAGGUAGGUAUAAAUACACGUCACAGGUAAGACUAAGAGAAUUAAUUGAUAGUCUAGGUACGUAUAAAUACACGUCAAAGACAAGCCUAAGAGAACUAAUUGGAGAGUCUAGGUACGUAUGAAUACACGUCACAGAUAAGACUUAAGAGAACUAAUUGGAGAGUCUAGGUACAUAUAAAUACACGUCAAAGAUAAGACUAAGAGAACUAAUUGGAGAGUCUAGGUACAUAUAAAUACACGUCACAGGUAAGACUAAGAGAACUAAUUGGAGAGUCCAGGUAGGACUAAAUACACAUCACAGAUAAGACUAAGAGAACUAAUUGGAGAGUCUAGGUAGGGCUAAAUACACGUCACAGGUAAGACUAAGAGAACUAAUUGGAGGGUCUAGGUACGUAUAAAUACACGUCACAGAUAAGACUAACAGAACUAAUUGGAGAGUCCAGGUAGGGCUAAAUACACGUCACAGAUAAGACUAAGAGAACUAAUUGGAGAGUCUAGGUAGGGCUAAAUACACCUCACAGGUAAGACUAAGAGAACUAAUUGGAGAGUCUAGGUACGUAUAAAUACACGUCACAGAUAAGACUAACAGAACUAAUUGGAGAGUCUAGGUAGGACUAAAUACACGUCACAGGUAAGACUAAGAGAACUAGUUGGAGAGUCUAGGUAGGUAUAAAUACACGUCACAGAUAAGACUAAGAGAACUAAUUGGAGAGUCUAGGUAGGUAUAAAUACACGUCACAGAUAAGACUAAGAGAACUAAUUGGAGAGUCUAAGUAGGUAUAUAUACACGUCACAGAUAAGACUAAGAGAACUAGUUGGAGAGUCCAGGUAGGACUAAAUACAUGUCAUAGAUAAGACUAAGAGAACUAAUUGGAGUGUCUAGGUAGGUAUAAAUACACAUCACAGGUAAGAUAACUAAUUGGAGAGUCCAGGUAGGACUAAAUACAUGUCACAGAUAAGACUAAGAGAACUAAUUGGAGUGUCUAGGUAGGACUACUUCCGCUUUAUUUAUCUACCUCAGUAUAAUGUUGUAACAUUGGGUCCUGUAGCCCUGGAGAACUUUGGGCUGUAGGUUUGAGGAGAUACAAAAUAAAACGACCUUAAAUAAUCACCAACUCGUUUGUUGUUUUUAUCAUUAAAGAACAAUCAGCAAUCCAUCAGUAGCAUGUUUCAGUUACAAAUAAAGGUGAUAAUGUAUGAGACUCUGAUCUGUAGUUUUUAUAAUAUCACAAAUCAGCGAUCACCAAUCUCGUGACAUGUCUUUCAUACUGUGAAUGUACAUAUUUUGGCGGAAGUAUUACU